GCUGGGGAGUACACCUGCUUGGCGGGCAAUUCUGUCGGGAUCUCUCAUCACUCUGCAUGGUUGACCGUUUUUGAAGAUUCAGCAUCUGACCAAUCAGACAAUAAUCUGGUCCUGAUGAUUGUUGUGAUCUGUGCUGCGCUGCUGCUUGGCAUCAUCAUGUGGGUCCUCACAUGGAUCAUCAUUAAGAGGAACGUCCCCACCAAUGAUGUUUAUGAGGGCAUGUGUGGAACAAUCAGACGCUAAAGAUGUCAGCCUGCAAGCAAGCAACCUGAAACUCCACAAUCUCUCUGCACUAAGGCGCAAGUUAUGCAUGUGAAGCAAUGUUGCAACUCAGCAUGUUCUCUCUCAUCUCUUCAGGCCCUAUGUGUGUCUGGCUGAAAGACAGUUAAGACAAUAAAGUCUAUGAAUUGCUAAAAGCUACAACAUGGGAACAGCUGCACUGCCAAUGAACAGUUUGGCACAACUGGCACAAAAAAUACAUAACACAACCCUGAAAGUAUAGAGAAGUACAAAUGUCUUGUCUUUCAGUGGCAAGAAAUUAGACCUGGAUUGUACUGACAUGAGGCCCUGACAUGUCUUUUUAAUUUGCCAAUCCCUAUCUUAGCGAAUUGCAUAGUCAACUAAUAACAUGGGUGUGCAUCAUGAUUAUGAAAAUGAUUGUGCCAUUUAGUGCUGUCAAACUUAACGGGUUUAAUAAUUUGUGUUAGGUUAAUUUGAGACAUUAAAUGCGUUAAUAAUGAAUUGCGGGUUGACCGCAAUUUCACUUCGUUGUAUAUGAGAGGUUGUAGUGAGCUCACUUUUGCUGCUAGGAUGAAGACUAUGGUAUUGAAUUAAACGGGAAAACAUCAGGCAUGCAUUGGUACCACUCUAAACAUGCUAAAUAACUCACCAAAUUUAACCAAAAGUUUAACCAAAAACUGGUCUGUCUUCCAUCAGAGUGCAGUUUUUCCUUCCAAGGACUCUGAUGAAGAUGUAACCGAA
rnacentral:lncRNA from 1 species